rnacentral:rRNA from 1 species
UUGGAGGGCAAGUCUGGUGCCAGCAGCCGCGGUAAUUCCAGCUCCAAUAGCGUAUAUUAAAGUUGUUGCAGUUAAAAAGCUCGUAGUUGAACUUCGGGAUCAAGGGAUCGGUCAUGCCUUGGUAUGUACUGGUCUUAUUGGUUCUCACCUUCUAAAGAACCAUAAUGUCAUUCAUUUGAUGUUAUGGGGAAUUAGGACUGUUACCUUGAAAAAAUUAGAGUGUUUAAAGCAGGCUUACGCUUGAAUACAUUAGCAUGGAAUAAUGAAAUAGGGCAUCCGAUUCUAUUUUGUUGGUUUCUAGGAUUGAUGUAAUGAUUAAUAGGGAUAGUUGGGGGCAUUAGUAUUCAAUUGUCAGAGGUGAAAUUCUUGGAUUUAUUGAAGACUAACUACUGCGAAAGCAUUUGCCAAGGAUGUUUUCAUUAAUCAAGAACGAAAGUUAGGGGAUCGAAGACGAUCAGAUACCGUCGUAGUCUUAACCAUAAACUAUGCCGACUAGGGAUCGGAUGAUGUUAAUUUUUUAAUGACUCAUUCGGCGCCUUACGGGAAAC